rnacentral:rRNA from 1 species
UACGUAGGGUGCGAGCGUUAAUCGGAAUUACUGGGCGUAAAGCGUGCGCAGGCGGUUCGUCGUGUCCGAUGUGAAAGCCCCGGGCUCAACCUGGGAAUGGCAUUGGAAACUGGCGGACUCGAGUGUGGCAGAGGGGGGUGGAAUUCCGCGUGUAGCAGUGAAAUGCGUAGAGAUGCGGAGGAACACCGAUGGCGAAGGCAGCCCCCUGGGCUAACACUGACGCUCAGGCACGAAAGCUAGGGGAGCAAACAGG